ACACAAAUAAUUGGAAACAAUAGGACAGCUACCCAGUGUAGAAACAAUUCAGUGAAGACAUCUGACAACUCAACUUUCAGGUUGCACUGUUUUUUAUAUACAGGCAAGGCAAGAAAUCUAUUCAGACUGGAAAAGGCAGAUGGAAUUUCAUGUACUGGGUUUGCAGGAGAUGAUUCUGAAGACUGACUGAGAAGCUAAUUCACUGCUGGUUUGAAAAUAAGUUUGAACUUGCUAAGGUUUUGCCUUACAGAGCCUUCUUUUAGCUUUGUUGACUGAGGACAACGGGAGAGCAAUGCAGGUAAUCAAAUCACUUUGCAUUUUGCCUAUAACACCAU
rnacentral:lncRNA from 1 species